UACGUAGGGCGCAAGCGUUGUCCGGAAUUAUUGGGCGUAAAGAGCUCGUAGGCGGUUUGUCGCGUCUGCUGUGAAAACCUAAGGCUCAACCUUGGGCUUGCAGUGGGUACGGGCAGACUAGAGUGCGGUAGGGGUGACUGGAAUUCCUGGUGUAGCGGUGGAAUGCGCAGAUAUCAGGAGGAACACCGGUGGCGAAGGCGGGGUCUCUGGGCCGAUACUGA
rnacentral:rRNA from 1 species